GAGCGCAUUCCGAAAAGUGUGAAACGGUUUUCGGGAAAAUGCGCG
rnacentral:misc_RNA from 1 species